rnacentral:lncRNA from 1 species
CUUGAAACCCAAACAGUUCUCAUUAUUGUAGCUCUAUUUUGAAUAUAGAUGUAUCUUCAGAAAAGAUGGUUCCUAAAAAACUGUUUCUUUUCAAGUAAAAUAAAUGAUCCCUUUCUAUUAGCCUACAGUAUCACCUUAUCUUGGGGUUAAAAAAAAAAGCCUGCUUUGUUCUCAUUUGUCUAUAUUCACUUAUUCCCCUUUCUAAUGUUUUGAAGGCUCCUGCUGCACAUAGCAAGCACUCUGCUGGGCAUGCAACAGUAAACAAGACAAGUGUUUUCUGCCCUGAAAUAGCUCCAAUCUGUUCAGCCCCAUAGCAUUAGAAGCCCCACUUCCCCACAUGAGUCCUGUAGUCAGAAGAAGCACCCUGUUUCUGAGGCAGAAGAAAAGAAACCAAACAAUCCUCUAGUCCAAGAACCAUUCCAGGAAAACUAAUAAUAACCAAUAUUUAUUCAGCACUUACCGUGCACCAAGGACUGGACUGAGUACUUAAUAUUAUCUGAUUGAUUCAUCCAAAUAGCCCAAUAUGACAAAUAUUAUUACAGAAAAGGAAAUUGAAGUACAACCAUAUUAAAUAUGGUAGCAGGACCAGAAUUCAUAUCGGGCAGUUUUUCUGCAGGAUCCUUAGUGGGCAAUGCUUCCAUUAUGGAGCCCAAGUUGGAAAACAACCCCUGG